CAUAUUUCAACUUGAAGUUGAUCAUAUUUAUCCAGGUUCCUGCCACAAUAAUUUGCCUUUAGCCAGGGGAAGUCACAAUUUUUUGGGCAAGGCAAAAAGUGGGCCUCGAAAGUGAAGUUUAUAAAAAAGGGUUGGCGAAUCCCAAAAUGCAAUUUAUGCAAAUGAGCCGAGAGGCGCCGUUGCAAAUGCGGCAGCAAUAGAAGAAGUAAAAAGAGGGGUUUUUUUUAUAUUUUUUUCCGCAGCAAAAUCAAAGCCUAAAUAGCAAUCAAAAAGACCAAAAAUUCCUUAAAUUAAACUCACGAACUGGCGGGCGCAACGAUGCGAAAAUGAUACAUGCAUUAAGGCCCAGCCAAGUUGACUUGGCCAAAACGAAGCGAAUUUAGCUCGGCACAUUUAGAAUAUCAUCGCAGUGCAACUACUACGACCACAACAAUAAAUAAUAGACAAAAGGCAGAGAGACAAAACCAAGGAGUGCCGAUUCCGAAGUCGACUUCGACUUCGACGUAGACUGCGACUUUGGCUUGGCAUGUCAUGCUUAAUACAGCCAAUAAAACCGCCAGAAACAACAACAGCAACAAUGGCAAUCGAAUCGCUUUGGAAGCAACCCAAAAACAACAUCCACGGCACAGCAACAACAUCAGCGAUAGCAGCAACAACUAGGAGACUCCACGCUAAGCUGUUUGCAUGCACUUUUUGGGGCCACCAGCGGGUCAGCCAACAGCAGCAGCACCACUAGCCCCACUAGUACCACCGUCCUCUAGCACCACCUCCACCUCCACUUCCACCAUCACCAUCACCGCCAAAGGAACAGCGGCAGCAACACCAGCAACAGCAAGAAAGCUGGCCCAAACAGUGGCAUAGAUCCCAUUUGAUUUGGAAGCGGAGGCGUAAUAAAAUUCUCACUAUGAAAGUUCAA